UAGGGAAUCUUCCACAAUGGACGCAAGUCUGAUGGAGCAACGCCGCGUGAGUGAAGAAGGUCUUCGGAUCGUAAAACUCUGUUGUUAGAGAAGAACACGAGUGAGAGUAACUGUUCAUUCGAUGACGGUAUCUAACCAGCAAGUCACGGCUAACUACGUGCCAGCAGCCGCGGUAAUACGUAGGUGGCAAGCGUUGUCCGGAUUUAUUGGGCGUAAAGGGAACGCAGGCGGUCUUUUAAGUCUGAUGUGAAAGCCUUCGGCUUAACCGGAGUAGUGCAUUGGAAACUGGAAGACUUGAGUGCAGAAGAGGAGAGUGGAACUCCAUGUGUAGCGGUGAAAUGCGUAGAUAUAUGGAAGAACACCAGUGGCGAAAGCGGCUCUCUGGUCUGUAACUGACGCUGAGGUUCGAAAGCGUGGGUAGCAAACAGGAUUAGAUACCCUGGUAGUCCACGCCGUAAACGAUGAAUGCUAGGUGUUGGAGGGUUUCCGCCCUUCAGUGCCGCAGCUAACGCAAUAAGCAUUCCGCCUGGGGAGUACGACCGCAAGGUU
rnacentral:rRNA from 1 species